UGCAGCUAUGUUGCCCGGGCCAUCUAUUCCAGUGUUGUCACAGUGGAGCCAGUAAUGGUCCGAUUCUCUUUGAAGUCAAAUUCUUUUGGCCAGCAGUAAUGAUGAUUUCAGCUGCAUUUCAAGCUACUGCUUCCAUUAUCAAGGUUGAGUGUUCAUAGUAGGUUGUGGUGGGAUUUUCAUGUUAAUCCAGCUAUAUAGUUUUUUUUUUACUAUUACAGGAGUUUGUUUUCAUUAAUGGUGCAAAACGCCUUGAGGGAAAGAGGCCUGAUAUAUUUGUAGUCAACUCUUUUGGUUCUGGUUUCCAGGCACUUUUUAUUUUCCUACUCCUUCCAUUUCUCUCUAACUUGAAAGGGAUUCCUUUUGCUGAACUCCCUUCAUACCUAACCCAUGGUGUUGCAUGCUUUCUGAAU